CAGCCAGCACCUCCUUCAGGUUACUUCACACAGCUAGCCCAGACGCAGCCACGCUGCCCGCUACCUCUAGGCCAAACUGCUCAAGUAAGACCAAGUACUCACUGCACCACUCAGGGUGCCAGGCCUCACCCAUCACAAGAUGCGCCUAAGGCUAGCUCCUAGCUGUUCCUACACCACCCUUCGGUGAGACCAACUUCCUCAAGGCUGCCGUGCUAAGCACAUUCACAAGAGGCUGGCUGCAGUCCUGCAGCUACUGCCGCUGCAGCCACUCCAGUCUUCACCAUACCCAGGAAUCCACAAUCCCUAACACGCUCACACACAACCACAGUUAGCACACAAAAGCCUGCUGUUCAAGUACAGGGUCCUGUAACUGUUUCCAUGCGGCACCUAUCCCUCUGACAGCAAAGGCAAAGGUUAGGUGAACAGCUCUUUUCGUUCAUUCAAGCAAUGCAGCCCAUUCAUUGAUAGUACUAAACUCAUGCUAGGGAUUGAAAACACAGAACAACUUCAUAUGCCCGAGUCCCCAGCUCUCCGCUUUAAGGCUGAUCAAGCUGUAGCUGUACUG
rnacentral:lncRNA from 1 species